rnacentral:rRNA from 1 species
GGGUUGUGAGGUUAAGCGACUAAGCGUACACGGUGGAUGCCCUGGCAGUCAGAGGCGAUGAAGGGCGUGCUAAUCUGCGAUAAGCGCCGGUAAGGUGAUAUGAACCGUUAUAACCGGCGAUACCCGAAUGGGGAAACCCAGUGUGAUUCGUCACACUAUCAUUAACUGAAUCCAUAGGUUAAUGAGGCGAACCGGGGGAACUGAAACAUCUAAGUACCCCGAGGAAAAGAAAUCAACCGAGAUUCCCCCAGUAGCGGCGAGCGAACGGGGAGGAGCCCAGAGCCUGAAUCAGCAUGUGUGUUAGUGGAAGCGUCUGGAAAGGCGCGCGAUACAGGGUGACAGCCCCGUACACAAAAGCGCAUGUGCUGUGAGCUCGAUGAGUAGGGCGGGACACGUGGUAUCCUGUCUGAAUAUGGGGGGACCAUCCUCCAAGGCUAAAUACUCCUGACUGACCGAUAGUGAACCAGUACCGUGAGGGAAAGGCGAAAAGAACCCCGGCGAGGGGAGUGAAAAAGAACCUGAAACCGUGUACGUACAAGCAGUGGGAGCACAGGUUUACCUGUGUGACUGCGUACCUUUUGUAUAAUGGGUCAGCGACUUAUAUUCUGUAGCAAGGUUAACCGAAUAGGGGAGCCGGAGGGAAACCGAGUCUUAACUGGGCGUUAAGUUGCAGGGUAUAGACCCGAAACCCGGUGAUCUAGCCAUGGGCAGGUUGAAGGUUGGGUAACACUAACUGGAGGACCGAACCGACUAAUGUUGAAAAAUUAGCGGAUGACCUGUGGCUGGGGGUGAAAGGCCAAUCAAACCGGGAGAUAGCUGGUUCUCCCCGAAAGCUAUUUAGGUAGCGCCUCGUGAAUUCAUCUCCGGGGGUAGAGCACUGUUUCGGCUAGGGGGCCAUCCCGGCUUACCAACCCGAUGCAAACUGCGAAUACCGGAGAAUGUUAUCACGGGAGACACACGGCGGGUGCUAACGUCCGUCGUGAAGAGGGAAACAACCCAGACCGCCAGCUAAGGUCCCAAAGUCAUGGUUAAGUGGGAAACGAUGUGGGAAGGCCCAGACAGCCAGGAUGUUGGCUUAGAAGCAGCCAUCAUUUAAAGAAAGCGUAAUAGCUCACUGGUCGAGUCGGCCUGCGCGGAAGAUGUAACGGGGCUAAACCAUGCACCGAAGCUGCGGCAGCGANNGUUGGGUAGGGGAGCGUUCUGUAAGCCUGUGAAGGUGGCCUGUGAGGGUUGCUGGAGGUAUCAGAAGUGCGAAUGCUGACAUAAGUAACGAUAAAGCGGGUGAAAAGCCCGCUCGCCGGAAGACCAAGGGUUCCUGUCCAACGUUAAUCGGGGCAGGGUGAGUCGACCCCUAAGGCGAGGCCGAAAGGCGUAGUCGAUGGGAAACGGGUUAAUAUUCCCGUACUUGGUGUUACUGCGAAGGGGGGACGGAGAAGGCUAUGUUGGCCGGGCGACGGUUGUCCCGGUUUAAGCGUGUAGGUGUGUGUUCCAGGUAAAUCCGGUUCACUUUAACACUGAGGCGUGAUGACGAGGCACUACGGUGCUGAAGUAACAAAUGCCCUGCUUCCAGGAAAAGCCUCUAAGCAUCAGGUAACAUCAAAUCGUACCCCAAACCGACACAGGUGGUCAGGUAGAGAAUACCAAGGCGCUUGAGAGAACUCGGGUGAAGGAACUAGGCAAAAUGGUGCCGUAACUUCGGGAGAAGGCACGCUGACACGUAGGUGAAGUGAUUUACUCAUGGAGCUGAAGUCAGUCGAAGAUACCAGCUGGCUGCAACUGUUUAUUAAAAACACAGCACUGUGCAAACACGAAAGUGGACGUAUACGGUGUGACGCCUGCCCGGUGCCGGAAGGUUAAUUGAUGGGGUCAGCGCAAGCGAAGCUCCUGAUCGAAGCCCCGGUAAACGGCGGCCGUAACUAUAACGGUCCUAAGGUAGCGAAAUUCCUUGUCGGGUAAGUUCCGACCUGCACGAAUGGCGUAAUGAUGGCCAGGCUGUCUCCACCCGAGACUCAGUGAAAUUGAACUCGCUGUGAAGAUGCAGUGUACCCGCGGCAAGACGGAAAGACCCCGUGAACCUUUACUAUAGCUUGACACUGAACAUUGAGCCUUGAUGUGUAGGAUAGGUGGGAGGCUUUGAAGUGUGGACGCCAGUCUGCAUGGAGCCGACCUUGAAAUACCACCCUUUAAUGUUUGAUGUUCUAACGUGGACCCGUGAUCCGGGUUGCGGACAGUGUCUGGUGGGUAGUUUGACUGGGGCGGUCUCCUCCUAAAGAGUAACGGAGGAGCACGAAGGUUGGCUAAUCCUGGUCGGACAUCAGGAGGUUAGUGCAAUGGCAUAAGCCAGCUUGACUGCGAGCGUGACGGCGCGAGCAGGUGCGAAAGCAGGUCAUAGUGAUCCGGUGGUUCUGAAUGGAAGGGCCAUCGCUCAACGGAUAAAAGGUACUCCGGGGAUAACAGGCUGAUACCGCCCAAGAGUUCAUAUCGACGGCGGUGUUUGGCACCUCGAUGUCGGCUCAUCACAUCCUGGGGCUGAAGUAGGUCCCAAGGGUAUGGCUGUUCGCCAUUUAAAGUGGUACGCGAGCUGGGUUUAGAACGUCGUGAGACAGUUCGGUCCCUAUCUGCCGUGGGCGCUGGAGAACUGAGGGGGGCUGCUCCUAGUACGAGAGGACCGGAGUGGACGCAUCACUGGUGUUCGGGUUGUCAUGCCAAUGGCACUGCCCGGUAGCUAAAUGCGGAAGAGAUAAGUGCUGAAAGCAUCUAAGCACGAAACUUGCCCCGAGAUGAGUUCUCCCUGAGACUUAAAGUCUCCUGAAGGAACGUUGAAGACGACGACGUUGAUAGGCCGGGUGUGUAAGCGCAGCGAUGCGUUGAGCUAACCGGUACUAAUGAACCGUGAGGCUUAACCUUACAACGCCGAAG